GUUCUCAGUUCGGAUUGUAGGCUGCAACUCGCCUACAUNAAGUCGGAAUCGCUAGUAAUCGCGGAUCAGCAUGCCGCGGUGAAUACGUUCCCGGGCCUUGUACACACCGCCCGUCACACCAUGAGAGUUUGUAACACCCAAAGCCGGUGGGGUAACCUUUUGGAGCCAGCCGUCUAAGGUGGGACAGAUGAUUGGGGUGAAGUCGUAACAAGGUAUC
rnacentral:rRNA from 1 species